AGCAUUUGGAUUUUUGUAUGCUAACGGAUGUUCUUCAAUAUACUUGGUAGUAGGAUAGCCGGGGGGAUCACAUCCGAUAUGUGAGUUGGUGUCAUCAGGGUCUUGAUAGAUACGAAUGUAAUCUAUGUACAUCACUGCAGGAAAUGAAAGAUCCCGGAAGUAAUAAUAAGCCCAAUUGUUUGAUAUUCCAAGGUUGAAAAUAAUAGACAUUGGCUCCUCACUAAUUUGACGAGGUCCGACAUUUCCAUUUUGACCGACGGCGCUGCCAAGCAUCGACCAAGUAUAGUUUGGACCGACAAACCAAGAUACAUACCCAUUAGUACCUUCACCAGGCUUGUAGUCAAAACCAUAAAUUUGGAAUGCAUUUCCUCCAUACCAUGUAUUGUUUAAAGUAGUAAUUCCUGAAAGAGCCUGUUGAAAAGGCCCUCCCACAUAAGAGUUCAUGUGAGUAAUGCUGUCAUUAUAAACUGCUAAAUAAUCAUAAUUUGGUAACCAGAAAAAAUCGAAUGGUGCGAACUGCCCAGAUUGAGAAACUACACCAAUGUCUAGUUCAUCGUCGGGAUGUAGCUUCUCUGUUGAACCUUCAAGAAUGUCAAUUUCAGGAGCGCCACGUCCAACACCUGGACUAGGAUGAUCCUCAUUUAGACAUACACAGUUUGGCAAUUUUUGUCCUGGUAAAUAAGAAAUGCCAUCGUAAGAAGACUGGUUGGGCGUAAUUCCUACAUCACACUGAGAGUAUGCAUAUGGCCAUACUCCAUCAGUUGUAGCCAUAUAGCCAGGGCGGGCAAGGUUUCCAAGUGUCCAGAUACCUGGCCAUAAUCCUGCGUGUUCACCUGAACCUGCCAAAGAGGCCGAUACUUCAAUUAUACCACCUUUUAGGCAGAGCUUGUUCCAAGAUUGCAACAUUCCAGAACGAAAAUUCAAAUCUCGGUUCCAGAAUGCAUCGAGUUGAAUGGCUAAUGUUCCAUUAACGGUAGUAAUUGCAUCAGGAUCAUACCAGUCUAAAUCAUUCGUCGCAGCAUAGUGAAUAUUAACCGCUUCCCAAAAUUGAUCAUUUCCGGAAUAAAAAGAUCUUCCUUCUUUGUUAAAUUCGUCAGAAAAAACCAAAUUGUAUUUACGACCGUUGUACCCGGUUCUGUGAUACGCUGUAGAGGGCGUAUCCUUGUCAAUCAGGUUCGUGCGCGGAACACGCAUGUGCGCAAACAAAUGGUCAGUUAUUUGAUUAGCCAUUAUCGCAUCAAACUUUUCUUUACUCGGAGUAAUAUUUCCAGUGAAUGUCAAAGCAGGAAAAACUAUGAAUAAUAAUCCUAUCCCAAGGGAAAGGACGAACAGAAAGAAAAGAUCGCAAAAACGUGACCAACCCAAAUAAUCUUCUUCCCCCAUUAAACUAACAACUGAUGAUUUUGGAUCAUGAAAGUCAUCAUCCUCUUCCUUAGAUCGAUAAACCCAACUUAAAUCAAUACUACUAAAUUGAGAUGGGCUUAAAAAAGAUUUCUCCCUCAUUUUCCAAACAUCAGAACCCACUCUGCUUCUCGGUACUCCUAAAUGUUGAUGAUCUUGGUUAUAAAAAGGAGGAUAGCGACUCAGUUCUUGAACAUGAAUGAGAGAUCGAGAAAGUUCUUUGUUUGCUAAAGGUACAUCGUCCUUACGAAGUAAACAACUAAUCUGAGGCAAUGGAGAAGUGCUUGAAGAUCCAGAAGUUUGCUCUGAAACAUUUAAAGAAGAUCCAUAGCUAGAAGGAAAGCUAUCUUGAUCAAAUGUCAAAAAUGGGUUUUGAGCAACUCUCUCUGGCUGCCUAGGUAAGUCGCUAUGACCUUUUUCCAUGAGAAUAUAUAUUAAUCAAGAUAUAAAUAUGAGAAGAUUAUUUUUUAAAGGAAAGAUGGAAAGAAGAUUAAAAGAAAGAAAGAACCCCAGAAAAGAAUGAACGAUUGCCAACCACUAAUAAGAGAAAGAACAAAAGAAUGGGAGUUUUAAUAUUUAAAAUAAAAAAGGAAGAUGUUUUCUUGAUAUAAAAUUCCACUCCUCAUAUCAGUUUGGGACUUUCUUUUUACUCAUAGCUGCGCAAUAAUGUUAUGGCAUAACUAUGACCGGAACGACGAUUGCACACUACUUAGGUCAUUGAUUUUAUAUGCAAAGGACUUCAUAAAAUAGAAGGAAAAAAAUAUUCUUAUUUGAUUAUUUUUGAUUUCCGUUGCUCCUGAGCAACGGCACGUUUGUAGCGGUCCACGAAAUCCGGGUGGCCUAUGAGAGCGUUUAAUGGUGUAGCAUCUCCAUUUGUAAACAACUUCAAUGCUUUUUCUAGUUUUUCACUUUCCUGCAUUUGAAUGUUUUCUAUGCUCAUUACCCGAGCUAAUUGAAUAGACCCUUGAAUAGCACGAAAAUUGCAGUAUGCUCUAUAACAAAGAUAAAAACCCGGAAUAUUUGGUAUUAGAGGUAUGAGAAUGAAAGGUAUAGUCAAUGGUAAUCCAAUAAUAUUACCAAUAAGGUAAUUUGUAUGGGUCUU